CACGUAGGGGGCGAGCGUUGUCCGGAAUUAUUGGGCGUAAAGAGCUUGUAGGCGGUUUGUCGCGUCUGCCGUGAAAAUCCGGGGCUCAACCCCGGACUUGCGGUGGGUACGGGCAGACUAGAGUGUGGUAGGGGAGACUGGAAUUCCUGGUGUAGCGGUGAAAUGCGCAGAUAUCAGGAGGAACACCGAUGGCGAAGGCAGGUCUCUGGGCCACUACUGACGCUGAGAAGCGAAAGCGUGGGGAGCGAACAGG
rnacentral:rRNA from 1 species